rnacentral:rRNA from 1 species
GUGGGGAAUUUUGGACAAUGGGCGAAAGCCUGAUCCAGCAAUGCCGCGUGUGUGAAGAAGGCCUUCGGGUUGUAAAGCACUUUUGGCAGGGAAGAAACAGUGCGUGCUAAUACCAUGCGCGAAUGACGGUACCUGCAGAAUAAGCACCGGCUAACUACGUGCCAGCAGCCGCGGUAAUACGUAGGGUGCAAGCGUUAAUCGGAAUUACUGGGCGUAAAGCGUGCGCAGGCGGCUUUGUAAGACGGAUGUGAAAGCCCCGGGCUCAACCUGGGAAGUGCAUGCGUGACGGCAAGGCUAGAGUGUGGCAGAGGGAGGUGGAAUUCCGCGUGUAGCAGUGAAAUGCGUAGAGAUGCGGAGGAACACCGAUGGCGAAGGCAGCCUCCUGGGAUAACACUGACGCUCAGGCACGAAAGCGUGGGGAGCAAACAGGAUUAGAAACCCGAGUAGUCC